rnacentral:rRNA from 1 species
AUACGGAGGAUGCGAGCGUUAUCCGGAUUUAUUGGGUUUAAAGGGAGCGUAGGCGGGAGCUUAAGUCAGCGGUUAAAUGGUGCGGCUCAACCGUGCCCUGCCGUUGAAACUGGGUUUCUUGAGAGUGCAAGAGGCGGAUGGAAUUCAUGGGGUAGCGGGGAAAUGCUUAGAUAUCAUGAAGAACUCCGAUUGCGAAGGCAGUCCGCUGGGGCACGUCUGACGCUGAUGCUCGAAGGUGCGGGAAUCAAACAGGAUUAGAUACCCUGGUAGUCCGCACGGUAAACGAUGAUUACCCGCUGUCGGCGGUAGACAGUCGGCGGCCAAGCGAGAGCGAUAAGUAAUCCACCUGGGGAGUACGCCGGCAACGGUGAAACUCAAAUGAAUUGACGGGG